rnacentral:rRNA from 1 species
UACGUAGGGUGCUAGCGUUGUCCGGAUUUAUUGGGCGUAAAGAGCGUGUAGGCGGCCAGGUAGGUCUGCUGUGAAAACUCGAGGCUCAACCUCGAGACGUCGGUUGAAACCGUAAGGCUAGAGUCCGGAAGAGGAGAGUGGAAUUCCCGGUGUAGCGGUGAAAUGCGCAGAUAUCGGGAGGAACACCAGUGGCGAAGGCGACUUCCUGGCCUGUUCUUGACGCUGAGGCGCGAAAGCUAGGGGAGCAAACGGG